rnacentral:rRNA from 1 species
UUCGGAUUGCAGUCUGCAACUCGAGUGCGUGAAGCUGGAAUCGCUAGUAAUCGCGGAUCAGAAUGCCGCGGUGAAUACGUUCCCGGGUCUUGUACACACCGCCCGUCACACCAUGGGAGUCGGGAAUGCCCGAAGCCGGUGGCCCAAUCGAGAGAAGGGAGCCGUCGAAGGCAGGCCGGAUGACUGGGGUGAAGUCGUAACAAGGUACC